rnacentral:lncRNA from 1 species
UAAACUUUUUUAAAUAAUGCUCAAUAUCGCUGAUAUACCAAUUCAUUUUUUACAAAUUCUUAAAUAUUUUUGAUAGUAGAGUGAAAGAAGACAGCUCUUCCAUCGCUUUUAAACAUUUUUUAACCAAUAUGCGUGUCCAAAUAGUAGUUGUAAUCUACUAGACCAAACCACAGAUGAUGAAGAUUUAACUCCAACUUUUGGAUUUUCACAUAUUUUAUAUUUUAAAUAAUAUUUUUUAAUUUGUUUAAAACACUAGAAUUACAAAAGUUUAAUAUAGUUUUUAGUUUUAGUUUUUAAUUUUUUAUAAAACUUUUAAGAUUUUAUUUACAGUUUUUGUUUUAUUAAAGUUAUUUAGUUGUAUCAUUGCUUAUGAUAGUUUAAACAUGUAUAAAUAUUUUUGUUGUUUUUGUUUCUUAGUAUGCUUGUUAGGCAGGGCAACCAUAUUGUUUGGUGAACUUUUUUUUUAAUGUUUUGCUAAAGUUACUUAGUUAAUAUUAUAGUAGAUUAUAGUAAAAAAAGUAAUUAUAUUAGGUGAUAUUUCUCUUUUACUGACUUAAAUUUAAAAUAUACAAAGUAAAGGCAUAAAGAUCAAAGAGUAAACAUUUAGUUAAUAAAUUGUUCAAAUUAAAAAGUAAUUUAUGCAAAAGCACGUUUCAAAAAGAGGUUUUUAGAUUUAGUGCUGUAUUAGUUAAAGAUUUCAUUAGCAUUGCAAUAUGGCGCUUAAAGUUUUGAUUUCUUUGUAUAAUCUGUUUAUCAUAGAUAUAGGUUAUAAAAUUUAUAGCUUUUAUAGGUUAUGAAAUUUAUAAUAGAUGUAGGUUAUAAUAAAUUAUAGUGAAAUCUAUAGGUUAAGCUUAAAUUGUGAAAGUUUUAUUUAAACAUUAAUUCAAUCAAGUGAUUUAUUCAAAAUUGAUUUUCUAUAAAUCUGUUUAAGUUGAAUUUUAUAGUUUUUAUAGUUCAAUUUUAGUAUUAGACAGUUUUUGAAUAUAUAAAGUAAUGGAAACAUCUGCUAACGAUGGUAAGUGUUGAUUAAAUAAAGUAUUGUAGUUUAUAACUUUUUAGUUUAUGUUUAGUAGAAAUUUAUAUGCAUAUCUUUAUCAUUUGAUAGUUUAUUUUAAGUUAAAACUUUACUUUUUUUAGCAUCAGACCAGAGAUUUGCACUAAUAUUGUCAGAAUUAGCCGCUUUAAGAGCAGAAUUAAACAAAGAUGCAUCAAGCUUACCAACUGAUCAGGGUUCUUCAGUCAUAUCAACACCUCCGGCUCAGGAAGUAGUCAACAACCUCUCUAGUUCAACAAGUACUCCCAAUGAUGGCAUCAAGGAUUCAAAUGGAUUUUCAUUUAACCAGUUCUUGCUUUGGCUUACUACGCAUCCUGGUCCGAAGACGCGCAAAGCAUUUAAUGUUUGGGCCCGACAAGGUGGCAAAGACCUCCCCAACUUUCGAUGGGGAGGUAGAACUGGGAGCCGCAAGGGUCGCGGACAAGGUGGCCGAGGAGGUGACGGUAAAUGGUCUUUUGUACUAGGGCGUUUGUAUUUUCAGCUCUAGUUUUUAUUUUAUGUGUAGUUUUAUACUUAUUUAUGUUGAUGUUGUUGCUUUAUAAUUUUAUAUAUGUAUUUUUUAUUUGAAGUAAAAAAGAACAACAUUUCUUAUUUAA